rnacentral:rRNA from 1 species
ACGUAGGGUGCAAGCGUUGUUCGGAAUCAUUGGGCGUAAAGCGUGUGUAGGUGGCUUGCUAAGUUGAUUGUGAAAUCCCUGGGCUCAACCGAGGAAGUGCAGUCAAAACUAGUAAGCUAGAAGAUGGCAGAGGAAGGUGGAAUUCCAAGUGUAGAGGUGAAAUUCGUAGAUAUUUGGAGGAAUACCGGCGGCGAAGGCGGCCUUCUGGACCAUUCUUGACACUGAGACACGAAAGCGUGGGUAGCAAACAGAA